GACAGAGGGUGCAAACGUUGCUCGGAAUCACUGGGCGUAAAGGGCGUGUAGGCGGGAAUGUAAGUCGGGCGUGAAAUCCCUAGGCUCAACCUAGGAACUGCACUCGAAACUGCGUUUCUUGAGUACUGGAGAGGAAGGCGGAAUACCUGGUGUAGAGGUGAAAUUCGUAGAUAUCAGGUGGAACACCAGCGGCGAAGGCGGCUUUCUGGACAGUAACUGACGCUGAGACGCGAAAGCGUGGGGAGCAAACAGG
rnacentral:rRNA from 1 species